rnacentral:rRNA from 1 species
GGCGUGUACUGCUUGGCUGGGCCUUACUUCUUGGUGAGCCGGCGUGCCCUUUAUUGGUGUGCGUCGGGGAACCAGGACUUUUACCUUGAGAAAAUUAGAGUGUUCAAAGCAGGCCUAUGCCUGAAUACAUUAGCAUGGAAUAAUAAAAUAAGACGUGCGGUUCUAUUUUGUUGGUUUCUAGAGUCCCCGUAAUGAUUAAUAGGGACAGUUGGGGGCAUUGGUAUUGAGUCUCUAGAGGUGAAAUUCUUGGAUUGACUCAAGACCGACUAUUGCGAAAGCAUUUGCCAAGGAUGUUUUCAUUAAUCAAGAACGAAGGUUAGGGGAUCGAAAACGAUCAUAUACCGUUGUAGUCUUAACAGUAAACUAUGCCGACUAGGGAUCGGAUGACCUCAAAAUUGAUGUGUCAUUCGGCACCUUACGAGAAAUCAAAGUCUUUGGGUUUUGGGGGGAGUAUGGUCGCAAGGCUGAAACUUAAAGGAAUUGACGGAAGGGCACCACCAGGUGUGGAGCCUGCGGCUUAAUUUGACUCAACACGGGGAAACUCACCAGGUCCAGACAUAACUAGGAUUGACAGAUUGAUAGCUCUUUCAUGAUUUUAUGGGUGGUGGUGCAUGGCCGUUCUUAGUUGGUGGAGUGAUUUGUCUGGUUAAUUCCGAUAACGAACGAGACCUUAACCUCCUAAAUAGCCAGCCCGGCUUCGGCUGGUCUCUGGCUUCUUAGAGGGACUGUCAG